CACGCCACUCCCGGAUCAGCCUCCACAGAUCGCGCCUCUACGCCCCCUCCUCUCCCAUCCGAGGAACCGCCGCGAGCCCGCGAUCCCGUUUCCCCGCCCUCUGUCGGCAGCACCCCCCUCCCCCCCGGGGCGCCGCCCGCUGCGCCUCCGCCCACCAACGACGAUCUCAUCCGCGCCACCCUCCCGCCCAUCGCACCGAUCCGCCACCGAUCGGCGCCGCCGGAACACCCACAACUUCGCUGCCACCGAUCUCCGCCUGGCCGCCCGCCUCUGCGUCACCAGUUCACCAUUGGCCGGAGUCGCCGGGCUCGUCGUCGCCAAGCCGGUCAUGCCGCUGCCUCCUCCACCAACGUGCUGUCACCUCCUACGCAUCAAGCGCCGGCGCCGCCAACCAAAUCCCAUCCGCCACCGAUAGGAGAGUGUUUGAUCUGCAACUAAUUCUUGAAGUACGGUGAUUCUCAGACCUUCGAGCUAAACUACUGAAGAACCGAACUCUAAUUGUCGAUACUGUGCUAAAUUUAUUCCAAAUCAAAAUUAGAUCUUCCCCAUCACCACCACUCUCCAUCAGUCUCAUCCUGCUCUCUGCUCUCUCCAAGGGACAAGGUGGACGGGGAGCUGAAGCUGUGUCACCUUCUCUCCAGUUGCAUCGGCGGAUAAAAUUAUCCUACUGAAUCCAUUGAUUUCCAAGAGUUCUGCAAUAAGAGCAAGGCAAGGAGUCGCGGACCUGACCAUGACCAUUUUUUAAGUACAUUUGCACAAAAUUGAGAAGCACAUGUACCCAUUGAUGUAUAAAUAAGAGAGAGCUUCCUCCAGUAGAUGAGAUUUACAGAAUGUCCAGCACAGCGAGCCUGUCAUGGGUCGACGAGCUGCUUCAGUGCUUCUAUCCUUCAGCAUGCAGCAAGUUAGAUGUCGAUCCUUGGCAAGCUAUUUGUUGUAGUCCUUGCAAGAUAAAUUUAUUACUGUGUGUUUUCUAUUCCUGUUAUUGAACAUGGUGGAAUCAAUGGUAAUUUCAGACUCAGUACUAUGCUGGUGCUCAGCAAUCAAAAUCAUUGCCACGAUUAAGUGCGUAUGUUAUUUUCUGCUGGAGAUUAAUAUGUUUUAAACUAGGAAUGUUUAAUAUGUCUACCAUGAUUAAUAUGUCUGCCUUCCAAAUAAUUUACUCUACGAGCUCCAAACAAAUAACUUUGCAUGAUAAAAUUGCUAUAGUCAUCAUUUCUUAUAUUUUGUUUACUCAAGUAUGGAAUUGCUUCCAUAUCAUACUUAUGAAAUGUUUAUCUCAUGAAUAACUUGAAAGAAUCUUAUGGCAUGACAGUUUCUAAGCUAUUUAUUGUAUUUUGUUAUUUGUCCAGCUGAGUCGAAAAGCAUGAUCAAGGAACAUCUACAGAAUCAAUUGUAUUAUGCAGUUUAAACAUAAUAUUUUGUCCUGUGAUAUAGAGGAACAUUUUUCUCCUCUAAGGGCUCUAUGUAUUUGGUCUUCUAUUUUGACUAAUUGGAGAUCCUUUUGCAUUUCCUUUAGGGCACAAUAAAAUCACAUGACAUAAGCACCAGAGAGAUGAUGACCUUUUUGGCACGGGGGUACCAACCAAAAAGUGUUGGGUUGAUUGUCGAAGCUGUCCAGUGUCUCUAUACCAUAGGUGAGAAAGAAAUAUGGAUUUGCCCUUUUGCAUGGUUUCGAAAGAUGGAAAAUUUGGGAUGUUAUUUUUAGCCAUGUGGCUAUGUAAUUAAUAAUGUAAUAACUCGUGAUAUCAUUCUUUUCUUUAAUAUUAAUCAUAUCUCAUUUUAUUUUUGAUUGUUGAAA